UCUUCCGUAGUAUAGUGGUCAGUAUGUGAGCUUGUCAUCUCCUUCUGGAGAUCUCAUCGCUCGAGACCCGGGUUCAAUUCCCGGCGGGAGAG
rnacentral:tRNA from 1 species